GCAGCAUGAUUGCCAAUAGGCGAGCGAGGGGUGGGCGUCGCAGUGUAAGGAGGCGGGGGCAAGAAGCCGGUUGGAGGGAGCGCGCGGAGGCUGUUUCCUCACCGCAUCAUGGUCCGGUUCGCUUUGACCAUCGUUCGGCAUGGAGAAACAAGAUACAACAAAGACAAGAUACUUCAAGGACAAGGUGUGGAUGAGCCCCUUUCUGCAACUGGUUUCAGACAAGCAGAUGCUGCUGGUAUAUUUCUCAGUAAUGUAAAGUUUACUCAUGUCUUCUCAAGUGACCUCCUUCGAGCGAAGCAGACUGCAUCCACAAUUAUAGGAAAGAAUAAGUUUUGCAAAGAUAUUGUAAUACAGUAUGAUGCAAGACUUCGAGAGAGGAAAUAUGGGAUUGCUGAAGGAAGGCCAUUGAGUGACCUAAAGGCAAUGGCAAAGGCUGCUGGAGAGCAAUGUCCUUUGUUUACACCAUCUGGAGGAGAAACACUAGAUGAGGUGUGUGUGCCAUGUGCACUGUUGCCAGAGAUUUUUCCCUCAGUGGUAUCCAUCAGGCCAGCUCUAGUGCCCUCUGGUGCCACACACUCAUGCACUAGCAUAAGGCGUGCUGCUGGCAAUGCACCCUUUCAGGCCUGGUCUACACUGGAGGAGAAGGGAAAUCGAUCUAAAUCAACACCCACUGGAUUGAACACUGCCCGUCGAUCCUGCGGAGACGCAGCUACAGCUGAGUGCUGGUUGGUGCCCUCUAUCCUUACUCUCAGCUGCCCUCUUCUUCCUCCCUCCACUUCAGACUACAGUGGCAGUAGCUCCAUGGACAAGAAGAUGAUCAGAGCUGGCUGACAAAUACUGCAGAUCCCGAUGGACAGGCAGGGCAGAGAACCGAAUGUGCUGUUGGGGUCUGUAAUGCUUCCUUGAAGUUGCUGUUGUGUAAACCAAGGGACUUAGGGAUCACCCUAGAGUCCUUUAACCCAUGAAGCUUUGCAUCAGUCUGCUCUCAGAAGAGCGAAGCUCCUUCAAAGGGAAAAACUCUAUCUCUUCACGAAGUAUAAAAACGCACUUUAAUGCACGUCCCCUAGAAAGCCAUCAGACUUGAGUGUGGAAAAGCAGAACUUUGUAUUCACCACCCAUGUCGUUGCAGAGCACUCGAAAGAGACGACUAUUCAUAACAUAUGCCUUAAUGAAGUUCACUGCUCACUACAUCAUUAAGAUACAUUGACAAUGUACUUUACAGCUAGGACUUGAUGAUGGAUUCCACAAUGAGCGACAAUCACAUUAGGUGACAUGCACUUUACCUUCUUCUGAAAGCCAGACUGUGCACCCAUCAAAGCUGGAGCACCAUCAGUACAUAUACCACAAACAUUUUUCCAGUUAAUGCCAUUGCUUUUGAAAAAGGCAUUCAUCUUAUUGAAAAUAUCCUGUGCUGUUAUGGUUGUUUUUAAGUUGUUCACAGAAUAAGAAUUCAUCAUUAACAUCCCCUGCAUUAACAUACUGUAUGAACUAUCAAUUGUACGCAAUUAGUAACAUCAGUAGUUUCAUCAAGUUGCUGGCUGAACAUACUAAAAGCAGAAUGUUUAAUUUCAUGCACAGCUUGUUCUUUGAUAUCUUCAGACAUCUCACAUAUCCUGCAUUUCACAGUAUCAUUCAUAUAGAAAACAUAUUAAGCUUUUUGGCAGUAUCAUUGCCAAACAUAAGCGACACAAUAUCUUUGCAUGCUGGCAGAACAAGCUUCUCACCUAUCAUAUGUGGGUUCUUGGCAUGAAUGAUUCGUAGAGACACAACAUAAGAGGCUUCCACAGCUGAGGACAUUUGCUGUCAGAAACUUCCACCUGCAUGAAGCCUGGCUUUCUUGGCCACUUCUUCUCUACGUUUGAAAAAAUCCAUGUUUUGAUGUUUAUGCUCAGGAUGUCUAGUUUCAAGAUGUUGCUGCAGUUUGCAUGGUUUCAUUGAUUCAGCAGACAAAACUUCGCAGCAAAUGAUGCAUUGUGGAUUUUCAAUAACUGAGGUAAUGAUGCUGGUAAAACCAGGUUUAAUGUAAGACUCAAGGUACUUUAGCUUUUUAGCAGUAGAGGUGACCAUUAUUUUCAGGAGAAAAUAUGCACCCGUGUGUCUGACUGUUACAUUAUAAAUUACUUUCUCUCCCCCUGAUCUCAGUGUUCUGAUUAGUUGCGUUUAAUGUAUCUCUUCAGAUGCUGAACAAUCAAGCCCUCUUAUAUUGUCUCAAUCCCAGGGUCGGCCUUAGGGAAAAUGGCACUCUGGGGGAACUUCUAUUUUGGUGUCCUUUGGAGGCAGAGCAGGGCUGGUGUGGAGUUGGGCUGGCUGUACUGGGGCUGACAGCAUGCAACCCCCAUGUAACCAUCUUGCAACCCCCUGAGGGGUCACGACCCCCAGUUUUAAAACCUCUGCAGUAGUGUAAACCCUUUGCCACUGAGAACUAAUGGAAUUUCUCCUGGUAGCUCAAGUGAUGGAGGUUUGUCUGUUUUGGAGAGAGAGGUCCUUAGUUCUCCAUACUAUUUUAUGUAUGUGUGUGCACGCUUUGGCUGUUUGACUAUCAUGCCUUGCCAGAACACUUAUUACUGCACAAAUACGCCCACAAACAGUUACUGGCUCAGAAAGCAGUGGCUUCUCAUCUGAAUCAUUUACCGUGCAAUUCUCAUCAGAGCCUCAAAAGGAGGGAUAUAUUGCAGAUUCACAAUCUUGGUGACAGAAUGCUCUCUCUGCA